GCAUACAGAGAGACUUGCCUUUCAGAAGAACACACCUUCAAACAAGUCCACCAGGAAUAAUUCCUACUGAGGGACUUCACAAUGUGGAAAUAUCUGCUGGUCACUGUCCUCCUGGCAGUCCUGUGCAGCAAUGUUGUCCUCUGCCGGAGGAGGAGCAGCACAUACAGAGGAUCGCUCAGGAAGAGGCACUCCAAAACUUCCACCCAAAGUCCCACCACCCUGGCAAAUCUUUGCUAUGGCAGUGAAAUGAUUGACAACCUGACGCUGGAGGCAAAUGACACCAUCUUUUACAAGGAUAACGCAAAGGAGUUUCCCAACGGGCUUUUCUACCCCAAUUGUUCUUUGCCCCUCCAGCCUAAUGUGAGCAGAGAAGCUCGAACUGAGGAAUGUGUAGACUUCAUAAUCACUGCAAGCAACUUGAGCCUGCCUAACAGGAAGAAUGCAAGUGACCCCAGCGAAAGGGUGAUGUGGCUUGUGAUCAACCACUUGUGUGCCAACGAAUUGUGCAGCCUGCC